rnacentral:rRNA from 1 species
AUUGAACGCUGGCGGCAGGCCUAACACAUGCAAGUCGAGCGGUAGAGAGGAGCUUGCUUCUCUUGAGAGCGGCGGACGGGUGAGUAAUGCCUAGGAAUCUGCCUGGUAGUGGGGGAUAACGUUCGGAAACGGACGCUAAUACCGCAUACGUCCUACGGGAGAAAGUGGGGGAUCUUCGGACCUCACGCUAUCGGAUGAGCCUAGGUCGGAUUAGCUAGUUGGUGAGGUAAAGGCUCACCAAGGCGACGAUCCGUAACUGGUCUGAGAGGAUGAUCAGUCACACUGGAACUGAGAGACGGUCCAGACUCCUACGGGAGGCAGAAGUGGGGAAUAUUGGACAAUGGGCGCAAGCCUGAUCCAGCCAUGCCGCGUGUGUGAAGAAGGUCUUCGGAUUGUAAAGCACUUUAAGUUGGGAGGAAGGUCAGUAGCUUAAUACGUUGCUGAUUUGACGUUACCGACAGAAUAAGCACCGGCUAACUCUGUGCCAGCCGCCGCCGUAAUAC